rnacentral:piRNA from 1 species
UGGGACCUAGGCGUGAGUGAACCGGAAC